AACGAACGCUGGCGGCAGGCUUAACACAUGCAAGUCGAGCGGCCCGCAAGGGGAGCGGCAGACGGGUGAGUAACGCGUGGGAAACUACCCAUCUCUACGGAAUAACGCAUGGAAACGUGUGCUAAUACCGUAGACGUCAUUCGGGAGACAGAUUUAUCGGAGAUGGAUGAGCCCGCGUUUGAUUAGCUAGUUGGUGGGGUAAAGGCCUACCAAGGCGACGAUCCAUAGCUGGUCUGGGAGGAUGAUCAGUCACACUGGGGCUGAGACACGGCCCAGACUCCUACGGGAGGCAGCAGUGGGGAAUAUUGGACAAUGGGCGCAAGCCUGAUCCAGCCAUGCCGCGUGAGUGAUGAAGGCCCUAGGGUUGUAAAGCUCUUUCACCGGUGAAGAUAAUGACGGUAACCGGAGAAGAAGCCCCGGCUAACUUCGUGCCAGCCGCCGCCGUAAUAC
rnacentral:rRNA from 1 species